UAUUCUUGUUGGCUUUCACAUUCAACAUCUCUUUCUCUCUCUAACCUUUUUGCUGCUAUCUCUCUCCUCAAAUCAGUGUUUUUGGGGAAAUUUUAUACCAACUUGAAGUUUUCGCAAUUUUUUUUGCUUCGCCAAUUGCAAAUGGAUUCGGUUGAACAAGUUAAUGACGAA